CAGUCGCCGCGGUAAUACGUACGGUGCAAGCGUUAAUCGGAAUUACUGGGCGUAAAGCGUGCGUAGGCGGUUCGUUAAGUCUGUUGUGAAAGCCCCGGGCUCAACCUGGGAAUGGCAAUGGAUACUGGCGAGCUAGAGUGUGUCAGAGGAUGGUGGAAUUCCCGGUGUAGCGGUGAAAUGCGUAGAGAUCGGGAGGAACAUCAGUGGUGAAGGCGGCCAUCUGGGACAACACUGACGCUGAGGCACGAAAGCGUGGGGAGCAAACAGGAUUAGAGACCCCCGUAGUCCCUGUCUCUUAUAC
rnacentral:rRNA from 1 species